rnacentral:rRNA from 1 species
AUUGGACGCUGGCGGCAUGCUUUACACAUGCAAGUCGAACGGUAACAGGCCGCAAGGUGCUGACGAGUGGCGAACGGGUGAGUAAUGCAUCGGAACGUGCCCAGUCGUGGGGAAUAACGCAGCGAAAGCUGCGCUAAUACCGCAUACGAUCUAUGGAUGAAAGCGGGGGACCGGAAGGCCUCGCGCGAUUGGAGCGGCAGAUGUCAGAUUAGGUAGUUGGUGGGGUAAAGGCUCACCAAGCCAACGAGCUGUAGCUGGUCUGAGAGGACGACCAGCCACACUGGGACUGAGACACGGCCCAGACUCCUACGGGAGGCAGCAGUGGGGAAUUUUGGACAAUGGGCGCAAGCCUGAUCCAGCAAUGCCGCGUGCAGGAAGAAGGCCUUCGGGUUGUAAACUGCUUUUGUACGGAACGAAACGGUCCUGGUUAAUACCUGGGGCUAAUGACGGUACCGUAAGAAUAAGCACCGGCUAACUACGUGCCAGCCGCCGCAGUAACAC